CACGAAUAUAUGAAUAUUGCCCCCUCCCCCAAUUAUCGAGUUUGCUACGCCACUGCUAAGCGUUUCCCGUGAUUUUAGGCGAUAUACUAAAGAUGAGUGCACACAAAUGAAAAUGAGAAAACGCAUCGACUUCCUCCGACUUUUUUCCCAGGGACGUGCCGAGCGAUAUCUGGUUGGGGGGUGGGUGAACUCCAAAAUUUGGGCCCCGUUCGUGGUACCCCUCAAAAAGGAGGGGGGGAGGUCGACGUUAUUUUUGCGAAAAUAAAACAUUACUUUGCGAUAAUGGGGGUUGAAAAUACUCAGAAUAUUCUUUAAUAUUUAACACGUUCUGCAAUUCCAGUAUUCCAGGGGACCCUCUGACGAAGUUGGGCUCAC